rnacentral:rRNA from 1 species
UACGGGGGGGGGCAAGCGUUGUUCGGAAUUACUGGGCGUAAAGGGCGCGUAGGCGGCCAACUAAGUCAGACGUGAAAUCCCUCGGCUUAAUCGGGGAACUGCAUCUGAUACUGGAUGGCUUGAGUUCGGGAGAGGGAUGCGGAAUUCCAGGUGUAGCGGUGAAAUGCGUAGAUAUCGAGAGGAACACCAGAGGCGAAGGCGAAUCACUAGACAGAACCUGACGCUGAGGCACGAAAGCUAGGGGAGCAAACAGG